UAGGGAAUUUUCGUCAAUGGGCGCAAGCCUGAACGAGCAAAUGCCGCGUGAACGAGGAAGGUCUUCGGAUCGUAAAGUUCUGUUGAAGGGGAAAAAGAGCGGAGAGAGGAAAUGCUUUCUGAUUGAUAUUACCCUUCGAGGAAGUCACGGCUAACUACGUGCC
rnacentral:rRNA from 1 species